CCCUCUGGGACAGUUCCAAAGCUGUAGCUUUGGGGAUCCCCCUUGAAACUCAAUGGGAGAACAAGACCUGUGGGAGUGUUAAUGAGGUCUCCAAUCUGUUAAGGUCAUCUUGAAUCCUCAUUCUGUCUUCUGCGGCAUUGACUCCCCAUCCCAGUUUGGUGUCAUCUGCAGAUCUGAUAAGCACCCCCUCAAUAAAAGCUGCCAUUAAUAAA